rnacentral:tRNA from 1 species
GCCCGCCUGACCCAAGGGAGAGGUGCGCGGCCACUGCGCGGCCACUGCGCUGCGGUUAUGCCGCAGAGAUCCCGGUUCGAACCCGGGGGCGGGCACCA